rnacentral:sRNA from 1 species
ACAUUGCAAAGCAGGGUUUAAGAAAUAAUCUACCAAAGCCAAUAGGCAGACAAGCCAAUCCCUUGGUCGAGUCUACAAAUCUCUGGAAUUCGUAGGUCAGACAUCCAUUUGAACGUCUUUUGGACGCUGGACGUUUAUGAUCGAAUCUCCACAUUAGCCGGCGAAAACCGCAUAGGGGCCAAGCGAAUCCAGAAGGGUAUAAAUCUAAACACUAACCACCUAACUAACCUAGAGAUUACCCUAAUCUAAUCCAUCCUCAAGAACCCUAAUCACUACUCAUGCAACAUUCUCAAGAACACAAACCUAUAAAU